UAACAAGGUUUCCGUAGGUGAACCUGCGGAAGGAUCAUUAAAGAGAUAGGGUCUUCAUGGCCCGACCUCCAACCCUCUGUUGUUAUAACUACCUUGUUGCUUUGGCGGGACCGUCUCGGUCUCCGAGCGCACUAACCCUCGGGUUGGUGAGCGCCCGCCAGAGUCCAACCAAACUCUUGUAUUAAACCAGUCGUCUGAGUAUAAAAUUUUAAUUAAAUUAAAACUUUCAACAACGGAUCUCUUGGUUCUCGCAUCGAUGAAGAACGCAGCGAAAUGCGAUAAGUAAUGUGAAUUGCAGAAUUCAGUGAAUCAUCGAAUCUUUGAACGCACAUUGCGCCCCUUGGUAUUCCGAGGGGCAUGCCUGUUCGAGCGUCAUUACACCACUCAAGCAUCGCUUGGUAUUGGGAACGGUCCGUCGAAAGGCGGGCCUUCCUCGAAGACCUCGGCGGGGUUCAACCAACUUCGGGCGUAGUAGAGUUAAAUCGAACGUCUUAUAAGCUUGGUCGGAUCUCAUUGCCGUUAAACCUUUAAAUUUUCUAGGUUGACCUCGGAUCAGGUAGGGAUACCCGCUGAACUUAAGCAUAU
rnacentral:rRNA from 1 species